ACUCAAUUUUUCCUUCACAGUUCAUGAAGUGGGCCUGUCAUAGUUUCAGUACCAAACACCUUUCUAUUCACAGACACAGAAACAAUCUAUCAUUCUGCACUGUUCUUUAGUUUUACCUUAUUUAAAUGACUCCAGAGAGAUUUGGGAAAUUAAGUACAAAACAACAUAACAGUCACUAAUCAAACUUCAAAAAAGACCAAUAAGAGUAAUUAACAAGUCUAAGACCAGGAUCAGACUAACCCAUUAUUUAUCCAAAUAUUUUGCACAUAUAUAACAUUUUGUACAGAACUACAAAAUACUAUUCAAAUAAAUAAAGCCAAUGCUGUACACAAUUUCCUUCAAAAAUAUAAAAAUAAUUCUAAAUUAAUUAAGUACUGCAUUGC